rnacentral:lncRNA from 1 species
UUUGAAAGUGGGUGAGCAGGACAUGAGGCAGAAUUCAUUCAGGAAGUAUUUCCUGAGUACCUGUGACGGGCCUAGGGACUGGGUGCCCAGGUCCUGUGUCCUGGGGACAGGAUGCCCAGGCUCUGCCUUCUCCCACUUAUAGACAGAGUGGGGCAGCCCCCUGCCACCUCUGGAUGAGCACAUAGAUGUCUCUGUAAAGCUGAGCAAAGCUGAACUCUGCAGACCUAGUGCUGGCCAAGAAGGUCUGCCAUGAAGGCAAGCACUCACCGUGAGACUCUGCCUUGAAAGCUCAUAAACCUGGGAGCCUGCUGUGCUCAGCCUCAGAAACCCCCAGGUGCCCGUGUGUCUGCCACCGCCAGCCCCCACCAUCCCCUCAGUGAUAAGAUACUGGGAGGCAGACCAUAAAAGGUGGAUUUUAUGACAACAGCUUGGUGACCAGACCAUCCCGCAGUCAGGGCUGCCUCCGCUGAGGGCGGAAGCAGGGAUGACUCAUGGAGAGGCCCCAGCAGACAGCCGAGGAAGCCUCUGACCCUGCAGUGCUGUGAGCUGGGUCAUAAUGGGACACUGGGGAGCCACAGAUGUGCCCAGAGGUAGGGAGAUGCUGUGAGUCACUCCACCCUGUCAGGCACUGGCAGGGAGUUGAGGAGUCAGAAGCAGAGAGAGCCAACACUGAGCUCGCCCGGUACCUAUGAGCAGCCAGCCUCUAAAUGGCUUACAGCUUGACAGUCCUCACACUGUGGCAGUGUAGUUUCUGGAAGCCUAUGGGGCCCAGGGACAUUCCUGUGACUGAUGCCAGUGGAUGAGGUGUGCUACAGUAGGUGAACAAGCGGCCUUCCCAGGGAAUGAAGGAGCUGCCUGUUUAGAGGAUUCUUUGUCACAUGCAUGGAAGAUUUUAGGAAAGGUAGGAGUCAUUCCAACUUUGCAAUGACGAAAAUGUGAGGAGAAAGUGUGGGAUAAGGCAGCCACUCCAGGAUGAAAGAAGGCACUGGGCAACAGCAGACGUGGGUCAGCCUAGAGAGCAGAUCCAGCCAGCUCUGGAAGAAGUUUAAUGGGAGAAGUCUGCAAGACAGGAGGAGAUAAAUUAGCACCUUUAAGAUCAAGG